rnacentral:rRNA from 1 species
CCAGACUCCUACGGGAGGCAGCAGUGGGGAAUAUUGCACAAUGGGGGAAACCCUGAUGCAGCGACGCCGCGUGAGUGAAGAAGUAUUUCGGUAUGUAAAGCUCUAUCAGCAGGGAAGAAAAUGACGGUACCUGACUAAGAAGCCCCGGCUGACUACGUGCCAGCAGCCGCGGUAAUACGUAGGGGGCAAGCGUUAUCCGGAUUUACUGGGUGUAAAGGGAGCGCAGGCGGCGCGGUAAGUCUGAUGUGAAAGCCCGGGGCUCAACCCCGGGACUGCAUUGGAAACUGUCGUGCUGGAGUGUCGGAGGGGCAAGUGGAAUUCCUAGUGUAGCGGUGAAAUGCGUAGAUAUUAGGAGGAACACCAGUGGCGAAGGCGGCUUGCUGGACGACAACUGACGCUGAGGCUCGAAAGCGUGGGGAGCAAACAGGAUUAGAUACCCGAGUAA